rnacentral:rRNA from 1 species
CCUACGGGAGGCAGCAGUGAGGAAUAUUGGUCAAUGGCCGUAAGGCUGAACCAGCCAAGUCGCGUGAAGGAAGAAGGAUCUAUGGUUUGUAAACUUCUUUUAUAGGGGAAUAAAGGGAUCCACGUGUGGAUAUUUGCAUGUACCCUAUGAAUAAGCAUCGGCUAACUCCGUGCCAGCAGCCGCGGUAAUACGGAGGAUGCGAGCGUUAUCCGGAUUUAUUGGGUUUAAAGGGUACGUAGGUUUUUUUUUAAGUCAGCGGUGAAAGUUUGUGGCUCAACCAUAAAAUUGCCGUUGAAACUGGAAGCCUUUCUUGUGUUUGAGGUAGGCGUAAUGCGUUGUGUAGCGGUUACCUGCAUAGAUAUCACGC